UUUUUUAACAGUUUCUGGUUCGGGCCAUGCAUGUUUAUCGUAAGUUUUUUGUUCAGGUCUGACCCGGCUGACGUUCCCGCCGUACACGCAUGCGCAGCUAUCUCGCAUCGUGGCCGCUCACUUCCUCGCCAGCGCCAGUCUGUCCGCCGACGCGGUACAGCUCAUAGCCAGGAAAGUAGCAGCGGUAUCCGGUGACGCUCGGCGCGCACUGGCGCUGUGUUCGCGAGCGCUUGAACUGGGCUCCGGCUCAGCGGGGUUGCGAGAAGUACAGCUAGCGUUGGAAGAGGCGGCUUCCGGGCGCCGCCGUGCGCGCUAUCAGGGCGUGUGCGCCAAGCCCGAGAGGCUCAUGCUGCGUGCUGUAGCUGCUGAGGUAGAACGAACCGGAUCUGACGAGACCACGCUCUCCCGGGCGCUAACCACGGCAGCGGCUUUAGUCUCCCUCGACGGGCGCCC